GCUUAACACAUGCAAGUCGAGGGGCAGCAUGGUCUUAGCUUGCUAAGGCCGAUGGCGACCGGCGCACGGGUGAGUAACACGUAUCCAACCUGCCGUCUACUCUUGGACAGCCUUCUGAAAGGAAGAUUAAUACAAGAUGGCAUCAUGAGUCCGCAUGUUCACAUGAUUAAAGGUAUUCCGGUAGACGAUGGGGAUGCGUUCCAUUAGAUAGUAGGCGGGGUAACGGCCCACCUAGUCUUCGAUGGAUAGGGGUUCUGAGAGGAAGGUCCCCCACAUUGGAACUGAGACACGGUCCAAACUCCUACGGGAGGCAGCAGUGAGGAAUAUUGGUCAAUGGGCGAGAGCCUGAACCAGCCAAGUAGCGUGAAGGAUGACUGCCCUAUGGGUUGUAAACUUCUUUUAUAAAGGAAUAAAGUCGGGUAUGCAUACCCGUUUGCAUGUACUUUAUGAAUAAGGAUCGGCUAACUCCGUGCCAGCAGCCGCGGUAAUACGGAGGAUCCGAGCGUUAUCCGGAUUUAUUGGGUUUAAAGGGAGCGUAGAUGGAUGUUUAAGUCAGUUGUGAAAGUUUGCGGCUCAACCGUAAAAUUGCAGUUGAUACUGGAUAUCUUGAGUGCAGUUGAGGCAGGCGGAAUUCGUGGUGUAGCGGUGAAAUGCCUAGAUAUCACGAAGAACUCCGAUUGCGAAGGCAGCCUGCUAAGCUGCAACUGACAUUGAGGCUCGAAAGUGUGGGUAUCAAACAGGAUUAGAUACCCUGGUAGUCCACACGGUAAACGAUGAAUACUCGCUGUUUGCGAUAUACAGCAAGCGGCCAAGCGAAAGCGUUAAGUAUUCCACCUGGGGAGUACGCCGGCAACGGUGAAACUCAAAGGAAUUGACGGGGGCCCGCACAAGCGGAGAAACAUGUGGUUUAAUUCGAUGAUACGCGAGGAACCUUACCCGGGCUUAAAUUGCAGAUGAAUUACGGUGAAAGCCGUAAGCCGCAAGGCAUCUGUGAAGGUGCUGCAUGGUUGUCGUCAGCUCGUGCCGUGAGGUGUCGGCUUAAGUGCCAUAACGAGCGCAACCCUUGUUGUCAGUUACUAACAGGUUCCGCUGAGGACUCUGACAAGACUGCCAUCGUAAGAUGUGAGGAAGGUGGGGAUGACGUCAAAUCAGCACGGCCCUUACGUCCGGGGCUACACACGUGUUACAAUGGGGGGUACAGAGGGCCGCUACCACGCGAGUGGAUGCCAAUCCCAAAAACCUCUCUCAGUUCGGACUGGAGUCUGCAACCCGACUCCACGAAGCUGGAUUCGCUAGUAAUCGCGCAUCAGCCACGGCGCGGUGAAUACGUUCCCGGGCCUUGUACACACCGCCCGUCAAGCCAUGGGAGCCGGGGGUACCUGAAGUGCGUAACCGCGAGGAGCGCCCUAGGGUAAAACUGGUGACUGGGGCUAAGU
rnacentral:rRNA from 1 species